AUUGAACGCUGGCGGCAGGCCUAACACAUGCAAGUCGAACGGUAACAGGAAACAGCCUGCUGUUUCGCUGACGAGUGGCGGACGGGUGAGUAAUGUCUGGGAAACUGCCUGAUGGAGGGGGAUAACUACUGGAAACGGUAGCUAAUACCGCAUAACGUCGCAAGACCAAAGAGGGGGACCUUCGGGCCUCUUGCCAUCGGAUGUGCCCAGAUGGGAUUAGAUAGUAGGUGGGGUAACGGCUCACCUAGGCGACGAUCCCUAGCUGGUCUGAGAGGAUGACCAGCCACACUGGAACUGAGACACGGUCCAGACUCCUACGGGAGGCAGCAGUGGGGAAUAUUGCACAAUGGGCGCAAGCCUGAUGCAGCCAUGCCGCGUGUAUGAAGAAGGCCUUCGGGUUGUAAAGUACUUUCAGCGGGGAGGAAGGGAGUAAAGUUAAUACCUUUACUCAUUGACGUUACCCGCAGAAGAAGCACCGGCUAACUCCGUG
rnacentral:rRNA from 1 species